UACGAAGGGGGCUAGCGUUGUUCGGAAUUACUGGGCGUAAAGCGCACGUAGGCGGAUAUUUAAGUCAGGGGUGAAAUCCCGGGGCUCAACCCCGGAACUGCCUUUGAUACUGGGUAUCUAGAGUCCAGAAGAGGUGAGUGGAAUUCCGAGUGUAGAGGUGAAAUUCGUAGAUAUUCGGAAGAACACCAGUGGCGAAGGCGACUUACUGGACACAUAUUGACGCUGAGGUGCGAAAAGCGUGGGGAGCAAACAGGG
rnacentral:rRNA from 1 species